AGAUUGAACGCUGGCGGCAGGCCUAACACAUGCAAGUCGAGCGGUAGAGAGGUGCUUGCACCUCUUGAGAGCGGCGGACGGGUGAGUAAUGCCUAGGAAUCUGCCUAGUGGUGGGGGAUAACGUUCGGAAACGGACGCUAAUACCGCAUACGUCCUACGGGAGAAAGCGGGGACCUUCGGGCCUCGCGCCAUUAGAUGAGCCUAGGUCGGAUUAGCUAGUUGGUGAGGUAAUGGCUCACCGAAGGCGACGAUCCGUAACUGGUCUGAGAGGAUGAUCAGUCACACUGGAACUGAGUCACGGUCCAGACUCCGAGGGAGCCGGCAGGUGGGAAUAUUGGGAACAAGUGGGACGAAAGCCUAGGACUCCCAGCCAUCGCCGCGUGUGUAGAAG
rnacentral:rRNA from 1 species